rnacentral:rRNA from 1 species
UACGAAGGGUGCAAGCGUUAAUCGGAAUUACUGGGCGUAAAGGGUGCGUAGGCGGUUGUUUAAGUCUGUCGUGAAAUCCCCGGGCUCAACCUGGGAAUGGCGAUGGAUACUGGACAGCUAGAGUGUGUCAGAGGAUGGUGGAAUUCCCGGUGUAGCGGUGAAAUGCGUAGAGAUCGGGAGGAACAUCAGUGGCGAAGGCGGCCAUCUGGGACAACACUGACGCUGAAGCACGAAAGCGUGGGUAGCAAACAGGA